rnacentral:miRNA from 1 species
UGGACUUCCAUAUCGAGCCACAGC